rnacentral:rRNA from 1 species
GACGAACGCUGGCGGCGUGCCUAAUACAUGCCAGUCGAACGAGAGCGACCGGUGCUUGCACUGGUCAAUCUAGUGGCGAACGGGUGAGUAACACGUGGGUAACCUGCCCAUCAGAGGGGGAUAACAUUCGGAAACGGAUGCUAAAACCGCAUAGGUCUUCGAACCGCAUGGUUUGAAGAGGAAAAGAGGCGCAAGCUUCUGCUGAUGGAUGGACCCGCGGUGCAUUAGCUAGUUGGUGAGGUAACGGCUCACCAAGGCCGUGAUGCAUAGCCGACCUGAGAGGGUGAUCGGCCACAUUGGGACUGAGACACGGCCCAAACUCCUACGGGAGGCAGCAGUAGGGAACCUUCCGCAAUGGACGCAAGUCUGACGGAGCAACGCCGCGUGAGUGAAGAAGGUUUUCGGAUCGUAAAACUCUGUUGUUAGAGAAGAACAAGUGCUAGAGUAACUGUUAGCGCCUUGACGGUAUCUAACCAGAAAGCCACGGCUAACUACGUG